GUCCACGCCCUAAACGAUGUCUACUAGUUGUCGGGUUUAAUUAACUUGGUAACGCAGCUAACGCGUGAAGUAGACCGCCUGGGGAGUACGGUCGCAAGAUUAAAACUCAAAGGAAUUGACGGGGACCCGCACAAGCGGUGGAUGAUGUGGAUUAAUUCGAUGCAACGCGAAAACCUUACCUACCCUUGACAUGUACGGAAGACCGAAGAGAUUUGGUUGUGCUCGAAAGAGAGCCGUAACACAGGUGCUGCAUGGCUGUCGU
rnacentral:rRNA from 1 species